rnacentral:rRNA from 1 species
AUACAGAGGGUGCGAGCGUUAAUCGGAAUUACUGGGCGUAAAGCGCGCGUAGGCGGCUUGGUCAGUCGGAUGUGAAAGCCCCGGGCUCAACCUGGGAAUGGCAUUCGAUACUGCCAGGCUAGAGUAUGGGAGAGGGAAGUGGAAUUUCCGGUGUAGCGGUGAAAUGCGUAGAGAUCGGAAGGAACACCAGUGGCGAAGGCGACUUCCUGGCCCAAUACUGACGCUGAGGUGCGAAAGCGUGGGGAGCGAACAGGAUUAGAAACCCCAGUAGUCC